CGCGCUCUGGUCGGCGCCCUCUAGUCGAGCGCCUUCCUGGUCGGCAUCCUUUGGCCGAGCGGCUUUCCGGUCGGCACUCCUUGGCCGAGCGGCUUUCCGGUCGGCACUCCUUGGCCGAGCGGCUUUCCGGUCGGCACUCCUUGGCCGAGCAGCUUUCUGGUCGGCGCUCUUCGGCCGAGCGGCUUUCCGGUCGGUGUACUUCGGCCGAGCGCCUCCGUGGAUGUAUGACUUAGGGUUUUUCCCCUAACACUACCCCCCGACUUCCGAGUCCGAGCUGCUUUUUGGUUCGGGCGAAGGAAGUAGUUCAGUCAUCGAUCGUCCUGGUGCUGUGAGCGUUCUUACACCAAGGCGACUGAAGACGCUUUUUCUGCUCGGAGUCCGUCGGCAGAGAAGAAUCCAAGUAAAGAUAAAUGAGAAUGUAAAGACAUUAAAUGAAUGGGUACCUUGUACCGUGUGCGUCCUUGCGCCGAGGCGACUGAAGACGCUUCUCUGCUCGGACUCCGUUCUUUGGGGACGUCGGCAGAGAAAAGUCCAAGAAUAAAAUAAUGUAAAGACAUUAAAUGAAUGGGUACCUUGUACCAUGUGCGUCCUU
rnacentral:lncRNA from 1 species